rnacentral:rRNA from 1 species
GACGAACGCUGGCGGCGUGCUUAACACAUGCAAGUCGAACGGAAAGGCCCUGCUUUUGUGGGGUGCUCGAGUGGCGAACGGGUGAGUAACACGUGAGUAACCUGCCCUUGACUUUGGGAUAACUUCAGGAAACUGGGGCUAAUACCGGAUAGGAGCUCCUGCUGCAUGGUGGGGGUUGGAAAGUUUCGGCGGUUGGGGAUGGACUCGCGGCUUAUCAGCUUGUUGGUGGGGUAGUGGCUUACCAAGGCUUUGACGGGUAGCCGGCCUGAGAGGGUGACCGGGCACAUGGGGACUGAGAUACGGCCCAGCCGGCGGCAGGAGGCAGAAGUGGGGAAUAUUGCACGAUGGGCGGAGGCAGGAAGGAGCAGUGCGGCGUGCAGGAUGACGGCCUGCGGGUUGUAAACCGAGUGCCGCAGGGAGAAGGCGUGAGAGACGGGAAUGUGUGAAAAAGCACCGGCUAAAUACGUG